rnacentral:rRNA from 1 species
GGGUUGUGAGGUUAAGCGACUAAGCGUACACGGUGGAUGCCCUGGCAGUCAGAGGCGAUGAAGGACGUGCUAAUCUGCGAUAAGCGUCGGUAAGGUGAUAUGAACCGUUAUAACCGGCGAUUUCCGAAUGGGGAAACCCAGUGUGAUUCGUCACACUAUCAUUAACUGAAUCCAUAGGUUAAUGAGGCGAACCGGG